AAGCGUGCGCAGGCGGUUAUGUAAGACAGAUGUGAAAAUCCCCGGGCUCAACCUGGGAACUGCAUUUGUGACUGCAUGGCUAGAGUACGGAGAGGGGGAUGGAAUUCCGCGUGUAGCAGUGAAAAUGCGUAGAUAUGCGGAGGAACACCGAUGGCGAAGGCAAUCCCCUGGACCUGUACUGACGCUCAUGCACGAAAGCGUGGGGAGCAAACAGGAUUAGAUACCCUGGU
rnacentral:rRNA from 1 species